rnacentral:rRNA from 1 species
UGAGUAACCUGCCCUUAACUCUGGGAUAAGCCUGGGAAACUGGGUCUAAUACCGGAUAUGGCCUCCUGUCUCAUGGCGGGUGGUGGAAAGUUUUUCGGUGGGGGAUGGACUCGCGGCCUAUCAGCUUGUUGGUGAGGUAAUGGCUUACCAAGGCGACGACGGGUAGCCGGCCUGAGAGGGCGACCGGCCACACUGGGACUGAGACACGGCCCAGACUCCUACGGGAGGCAG